UACUUUUCUGAUACUUCAUAUUUCCUACUAGCUUCUAGUUUUGUUCCUAUGCAUCUAGUUUAAAAUGUAGUUCAUCGUAGUGAAUAUAAAAGGUAUUUGUGCAUUUUUAAAUAGUUUCCAGAACCCCUCAUAAUUGCCUUAGUUAUUUUAAAUGGUGAAGUAUCAGAAAUAGUUGUUUCCCUGUAGUUUGGUCUACAUAUGAUACAUACCUAGUUGGUGCUAAUGAAAACAAAGUAAUGGUAAAAAUUCUUUGUGAAUGUAUGCAUGUAUGUUUUUUGAAAACUGAAGAAGCAAUCUGACAUCUGGAUAGUUUUCAUGGACUGUUGUCAGAAAUUUAUGUAAAAUAAAUAUCAGUACACUAAAAGUAUGAUGCAGUUUUGCAUAUCUAGUUUCUGUUCAUCCUGAUCAGGAUUAUAGGUAAUACUGUAAAAUACACUCAGGUGCUGGUUAUUAAGGCUAUUUGGAUUCUUUUUAAUACUGAAAAGGUCACACAGAUUGUGAUUAUUGUGCAGUGUCCAAGAACUAAGGCUUGCCAUCUGUUACUCAACUAUAGGAAAAAGUUAAGAUAAUCUAGUGAUAUGAGUGGUUUUGACAUUUCUGUUUUUUGGAAUCAUCUAUGAUAGUGUUUAAAGACUAAUAUGAGUUUUAAGCUUUUGCAAUAAUAAAACUUAGUGGUUAUGCUAGUGUUUAUAUUUUUCUUCUAAAAUGCAAAGAUACUGGUUGAGAACUAAAGUUUAUGUAAUGGAAGUCUGGCUUUUAGUCAUUUAGUUUUACAAGAUUAUUUGGAUAUUUAAGUGGAAACAUCAUGUUUUAACUUGAGAUAUUAAGUUAUAUGAGAUUUUGGUAUUUUUAAACUGUAAUCUUCCUAACAGUUGGCAUAUAGGAAUUCAUUAUUACAGAACUUCAUCAGGGAACUGAUUUAAUAUGUAUUCCUUAACUAUUUGCUUUAAAUAUUUUUCAGGUCCUCUGCUUUCCUGUACAACUCAAUUGUCUUUCUGCUAGUAAAUGAGUUUCCCCAUUUGAAAUUUUGCUUUUUCAUUUUAAGCCACUAUAUAGACAGAGCGAGAGAGAAAGGCACAGGGAGAAGCAGGCUCCCAAGGAGCAGGGAGCCCGAUGCGGGACUCGAUCCCAGGACCCUGAGAUCAUGACCUGAGCCGAAGGCAGACGCUCAACCAUCUGAGCCACCCAGGCGCCCAGUUGCUUACAUUUAAAUGAAGCUCAGAGGGCCUUGAUUCUUCCUUUAAAAAGUAUUUGUUUAAAACUGUGUAAUCUUCAAUUUAAACAAUAGGAAAAGUUAAUUCUAUGUCAGGUAUUUGUCAUUAGAAAUUAUCUUUCCCUCUUUGUUAAUGUACAUAUGCUCAUAAUUAUAUACUUAGGUAUUUGUUCACAAUUUAAUUUUUAUCUGUCAGUGGGUACUUGUCAUUUUUAAAGCUAUAUAGUUAACAUUUUUUCGGGCUAAAUAUCAUGCAUUGCUUACUGUACUGUGUUAGGAUUAUUUCCAUUUCUUUCCUUUAUAAGCAGCACUAUUGUGGAUAUCUUUGUCUGGUUUACUUUGUUUUCUUAGAGUGCAUUGUUAGAGUGGGGUUUCUGGAAUAAAAGGUAAAACAGUUUCAUAGCUCUUUGUUACAGAUUGCGGAUUUCUUGCCAAAUGAACCAAUUUAUGCUAUUGCUACUAAGUAGAAGAAUUACUAGCAAUUCUUGAUGUUACCUUUGAAGAAUGUGAUAUUUUCCUUUAGAAAGUAAGAUGUAAGGGCGCCUGGCUGGCUCAGUUGGUAGAGCAUGAGACCCUUAAACUCAGGGUUAUGAGUUCAAGCCCCACGCUGGGCAUGGAGCCUACUUAAAACAAACAAACAAACAAAACAACAAAAAGAAGAACUCUAGAAAGUGAGAUCGAAACUUCAUUUCAAAGCAAAAAUAUGUGUAAACUUUUCUGUCAAGGCAAGUUGGUAUAAUGUAACAAUUUGAGAGAAAGUUGUGAGGUCCUAAUUGUUUGGAGGAGUAGAAAGCUGCAGUAAAGCUCAUAAAUUACAUGCAGUCAGUUUUCCUUUCUGGUUUGGCACUAUGGGCAGAGUUAAUUUAGAAGUGUUAAAAGGAACCUAAAAUUUAUGCUAAAGUGAAUUUAAGUGAAUAUAUUGGAACUAUUUUCGUUUAUAAUUUGUGUAUAAAAACAUCAUAUUGAGUUGCCUUGUAAUGAGACAUUUAAACUAAAAUUAAAUAACAAGACAUUUCUAGCCCAUGCAACCUCAAAUCAUAACAAUUGUAAUAGCCCUUUGCAGUUUAUAGAUUUAAAGAUAUGUCCAGAUACCUCAUAUGAUCCUUAAAACAAUCAGUAAAGAAGUUACAGCAGGUGUUAGGAUCAUUAUUUUGCAGAAAAAAGAAACAGAAAUAUUUGAGGCCCAGAGAUUUAGUAACUUACCUGAGGUCAUAGGCUUUUAAGUUGCAAAGCUGAGAAUGGAACUUUGGUCUUCUAUAUAUUAGAUGACAUUAUGCGUUAAAUAUUUUAGUGCAGGGCCUGGCACCUAGGAAAUAUUUAAAUGUUCCUUUGUCCUGUGCUGUUUCUGAUCACUAUACUUUAUUCUUAAAAAAAACCCCAUUUUUUGGAGCAUUCUUUCUUUUAAUAUUUCUGUAGUUCAAGCUUUGGUACUUAUGUACCCUUUUCACAUUAGAAAAUAAGAUUUUAGGCUGCAUUAAUUUGCUCUGUACAGGAAUGAUUAUAUGCUUUAUGUGUUAGGACAAAUUGUUCUCAAAUAAUGAGUAAUUAGCACUUUAUCAGCUGGAAAAUUCAGCGAACUCCUAUUUCUGCUUUCCUACUAAUAUGAAUCUUCAAUUUAGAAACCAGAUAUAAACAUUUUACACAUUUAAUAGAGAAAAAUAAAAUCUAGUAAGAAAUAUAAAAUCUUUCAUUAAAGGAGACUCUCAUAUAAGUGUAUGCGAGUGGCAGUUAUUUAAAGCAUAAUUUGAUUAGUAAAGUUGAUAAUAUGGAUAUAACUGUGACAUACAUGAAAACUAUUUGUUAAAUUUAAACUUGUUAAAAUUUGUUGGAAAAAAAAAUGUAGACCUGAUGUAGCUUAUGAAUCAGUGGCUGAAUUUUUUUUCCUCUCACCUGAUCUUUAAGCAUCUGUUGGUUGAUAGCACUGACAGAAAGCAGGGGAAAAGCUCCAGAAAUUCCUGGAAAAUAGAAUUAAAUGGUGAAGUCCUGGUAUUUGCUAACUAGCUUUCGAUUCUUCUUGUUUUCUGUUGUUAGUGACUUUAUUCCUUCACUCCUGCUGAUUUAGCUUAGGGUCCAUCCCUCUCGUGAGCCAGGCAACUUCAGAUUUGCUUUUGAUGCUUUUUGAUCACUACCUCUGUAAAUCUGUGUGUCACUUUCUAUUUGCCAUUCGUGUUCCAUGUAUGUUACAGCUUUAUAUUGUUAACUUCCAGCUAACUAGAAUUUUUAAAAUAGCUUAUAUGUGAUCUGUGGAAAUAAUUUUUCUUAAUUAUGGCAGGAAAAAAGUGUUACUGGUUUGAAUACUAGUACUGUAUACUGGUAUUUUAGUUUAUAAGUUGUUUGGGGAUAAGUAUAUCUAUGUAUUAUGUUGAGUAGUACUACAAAGAAACUUCAGGACUGCUUUAUUUUCAAUAAUUAUACUUAAAAUAAGACUGUUUCUACUCAGGAACACAUAUGAUAAGGCUUAAGGAGCUAUUUUUGGUUAUUAUCCUCUAUUUGAAAAUUCUGGCUAAAUUUGUAGUGUAAACCACAUUAAUUUAGGUUCAAGUAAAAUUUUGAGACAAGGUAAAUAUGAAAUCUCAGCUCACAUGUUGUUUUUCUAAAGGCGUUUUGUUAAUUUGGUGUAACUUAGAACAUACUUCGUGUUUUAAGUCAGGAUUGGAUGCUUAGAACAACCAAUAAAAAUUUGUUUAGUUCAUAUAGUAGCCACAUUAUUUUAUAGUAGGUCAGUUAUAUUAUUGGUGAAAUUGACUUCUGUGGACAGGCUUUAGAACUUAAUUACCAUUUAUUAUUUUCUUUCUCAUGGUCAGUAUUCUGUGGUUGAGGUGGGAUUGUUGCAGCACUUGAAUCAAGACUGUCCAUCAUAAUAUAUAUGAUUAUCAGAACUCAUCAACAAAUCACUUAAGACCUUAUAUUUUAUUGUAUGUAAAUUAUACCUUAAUUAAAUAAAACAAGUUGAACAUGUUGGCUCCAAGGUGGGGCAAAAGUCAUGUAUGUAUGUCUACUGAAGGUCAUGUGUCGUGCCUGCAGAUCUCUGGUAGCAGUGGUGGCUCUCCAGCUUAGGCCUGACAGAAGGUGCGAUGCACACACGGGUGCAUUUCUUCUCCCUCUCUACUUACUGCAUGUAGUCACUGAUAACAUGGGGAAAGAAGGCUUUUGUUUUCCUCCCUUUGGGAAAUUUGGGAAUAUUUUACAUUUGUUCUUAAGUUAAAUACUUAAAAGGCAAAUUGAUAUAGUCAAGAUUUCAAACAGUUAAGGUUUCUGUUAGGCUUUGAUGCUCUUUAGAAGGAUUAGGUUAUUCAAUUGUCAGUGUCACUGGAAAAAAAAACCCAGAUAGUUACAGUGAGCCCUUAUGGUCUAGGUCUGUCCCAUUUGUUCAUCUGAUAGACAACUGUCACUCUGUUCUAGUCGUUUUCCAUAUAUUAAUGCAUUUAAUCCUUAUCACAACCCUGUGUGAUAAGUACUUUUACUAGUCCCAUUUUACACAGGGAACUGAAGAUAGGUAACUUGCAAAAGAUUACUUAAUGAAGAUAGAGUUCAAAUCCAGGCAGCUUGGCUCUGGAGCGUAUGUUCUUUUUGUAGAUCACUAGAUGGCAAAAAUAUUUGGCUUCCUUCAGUGACCUAGUUAGUAUAAUUCUUUAUGUGCAGCAUUUGUAAGUCGUUAGAUAAGAUUUCAUAAUAAACCCUUUACUUGUUAUUCAAAAGUAUAUCCGGUAAGUGCAGGUUAAGGCUGUUCUGUAUUAGAAAUCAUAUAUAUAGUUUUCUCAGUUAUUUUUAUUUGGUUUAAAUUGUCUAAAAAAGUAUGUCAGAAAUUUUAACAGUGGGAAGCAAAAAAGUCAUAUUAGACAUGUAUUGGUGUAAUGCUUGGCGUAAGAAAUAUUUGUGUUACAAUUUAGUACUCAUUAAUUGCUGACAUCAGUUUUGGAAAUGCCAGUGAUUUUUGUAUUGUCUUUUAGAAGAUUUUCAGUUUUAACAUUUGAUUAGUAGAUUCACUUUCAUUUGAACUUGCUUCCUUUGAAAAUUUUAUAUUUUUAUUAUUGAUUUGGAAAUAUAAGAAAUCUUAAUCUUUUAUGAGGCAGCAUGGUAUUAGAAGCCUGGCUUUGGGUUAUGUACCUAACUGGUUUGAAUCAUAACUCAGUACUUACUGGCUGUGGAACUUAGUGCAAAUUACUCAGUCUUUUUGACCCUCAAUUUUGUCAUUCAUGAAAUGGGACUGUUACUCUGUAGAGUCAUUAGGAUUAAAUGGGAAUGUAUUUCCCGUACUGUGGCACAUGUUCUCUGCAUCUUUCUAACUUAUGAUGGAUGCUAAAGUCUUGGGUAAAAUCUCAAACUAUGAAUAAGGAAGGUGAGAAUCUUGGAAAGUGAAAUCUUCAAGAGACUGAAUGCCCAGAUUCUAUGUAAAAGAAGGAUUGGAUUGUUGCUCUGUAAACAAGAGACCACCACGCUGAUUCUGGCCUUUGUCUCCUUCUGUGUCUGGUUAAAUUGAACUCCCUGCCACAGCAUCCUUAAAACUAAAUCCAGGCUUCUGUCCUGCUUGCUCCAUACAGCUCAGUGUCUGUGAACUGCACUGGAUUGCUUGCUUUUUCCUGGUGUUGUAUGUAUUUGCAUAUCCCUGUUCUGUCCUCUGCUUGGAGUGUUCUAAUUGCUCUUGUUUGUUCUUCUGUCUACUGAUGUCUGACUUUACUUCUUAAGGAUUAUCUAACAUAUCACCUACUUUGUGAAGCUUUAUCUGUGCCCCUGCAGAAUUAAUCCCUCUCUCUGUAUCUCUUAAAAUAUCUUGGUCUUAUAUUCAGUAGAGCCUGUGGCACCGUUGCAUGUCCGUGUGUCUGUCUUCCCUGAUAGAGUGGGGACUCUUGCAGUGCGGUAGUCUGCUUACUUAGCCUCUGCUCUCAGUGCCCCUUGCACAGAAUGUUCACUAUGUGUUUGAAUAAUUAAGUGAAUGAAAGAGGGGGCCAACUGAGUUUACUUUAAUGAGUAUAUAACCUCUCCAUUUAUGUAUAGGGACAAAUGGUUUUGUUUAAGUAAGUUAACCAAGUCCUGUGCAACCGUAUUUACUUUAUUAGUUAGUAUUCAUAGUGCAAGGAUACAUUUGCCUUUAGUCCUGGUUAAAAUGACUGCAUUUCAGGGGACUUUGUACUACUGUGCUUUUCUGUAAGGCUAAAAAUCUUAAUAUUACCUUCACUGAAAUUAAGGAUCCAGCUGGAAAGUUUGUUAGUAGCAGUAAUUAUUAUUUCUUUGAUUAAAAAAUAUUUUUCUGUUGCAUUGCUCAGAAAAAUUCAAUUUAUAUUUUUGACUGGCAUCUAUUUAUAAUUUUUAGGUAGAAAUUCUGGAUUGGUGGCAUCUGCCACUGCUUUGGGUCCCACGGCUGCCUCAUUUGUUUUCUGAGUGUGUUCCCAAGACGGCGUCACGAAGUAAAGUUUAUUCACCUUCAAGAAUUAAUAUUGGGCGCCUGGGUGGCUCAGAUGGUUAAGCGUCUGCCUUCGGCUCAGGUCAUGGUCUCAGGGUCCUGGGAUCGAGUCCCGCAUCGGGCUUCCUGCUCCUUGGGAGCCUGCUUCUCCCUCUGCCUCUCUCUCUCUCUGUCUCUCAUGAAUAAAAAAAAAAAAAAAAAAAGAAUUAAUAUUGCUACAGGCUUGAUUUGAGUCUCCAGUCUCUUUUUUUUUUUUUUUUCUCAUGAGUGGACAUAAUACCUAAAACAUUUUGGUAAUUGAACAUAGCUCUUUGAAUUGAGCUAUGUUUUUAGGUGGAACUACUUAUGUGAGAAUAAUAGAUGACAGUGAUUAUUUGUAAUGUUAAAAAUGAUAAUCCUGAUGGUUUUGGAGCCACUGAAGUAAAAGAACCCUUUGAGGUUGGCGGUGAAUUUUUAUAUUCUUAAAGUGACAAAAAUUGCCAUGUAGUAAAUGCUGCUUAAGUCUUUUUUCAUUAUAUAUAUGUGUAUAUACAUAUAUACAUUUUGACAGAAAUUCAGCAUUUUUUUGAACUACAUACAGAGCUGAAUUUAAGUUAUGCAGGACAAGACAAUAUUUUGUCAUGACACUUAGUAAAUAGACUUGGAGAUAACUAUGAAACAAACAACUUUUAAAAAUCUAUUAUAGAAAUAGUGCAGGUGCAUUGUAUCAACAACAGAAAAUAUAAAACAAAAAUGAGAAAAAUACAUAUUCCCACCACUUAGAGAUGAUUACUUUUAGCACCUUAGUUUGUAAUCUUUUUGUCUACAUGUAUGCAAAUGGGUAUAUAUGCAUUCUUAGGUCAGUAUGGCAUAAUGCUGUGUAUUCUCUCUUGAAACCUUUUUUUUUUUAGUCAAUAAUGUCUGCUUUUCCAUUUCAGUAAAUUUUCAUCUCAUAUAAUGCCCAGAUCAUAUUCAAAUUUCUCUGGUUGGCUCAAAAAUGUUCCUUAUGGCUGGUUUGUUUAGAACAAUAUCCUGUAUGAUAGCAUUGUACCUAUGAACUUGGCUCUUAGAACCCUUAAGUCUUCUUAAAUCAAGAUUAGCUACCCAUCCCUCCUCUCCUUGCCUUUUAAAAAGACAUUUGAGCAGAGACUGGGUCAAGUGCUUCAGACCUUUUGAAUUUGUCCAGUUUAUUCUCAUGUCAUUUAGCUUCUUUUUCUGUCUCUUGUAUUUACUGUAAAUUAAAACUUAUAUCUAAAUAGUUGGUGGAUUCUCAGGUUGAAGAUACCUUGGCUAUCAUAGAUGAUGCUAUGUCCUUCAUAUUGUAUCACAUCGGAAGUUAUAGGAUCUCUACUUAACUUCCUUGGUGAUGCUUAGAUUGACCACUGAAAUUGAGUGGUGGCGCUCUUUUCUGCCUGCUGUUCAAUUAUAUUGGUUUCCUUACAUCAGAAAGUAUUUUGUGUGGUGUUACUUUGGCUCUCUAAGAAAGUUCAGUUCUUCAUCAUCCACUCAUCUGUUGGUUUAGAACCAAUUGUUGAUCCUUGCAUAAAUCAAUAAAUGUAUUAGGGUUUGCAAAAUAUGAUUUUUAAAGUUCUGUUCUUUUGUGUUUAUUAACUGGUGUUUUUCUGUAAAGUAGAUCUUUUACUGUAUGAAAUGGGGCUAUUUGGUUGCCCUGAAAUACAGAACCUUCAGAAAAGUAGCGUAAAUACUUAAUUUCCCCCUUAACCUACUUUCAAAGUAAAGAAAGAACUAAUAGCCACUUCAAAAGGUGAUAAAUGAAAAAUAUUUUGUUUUUGUUUUUUAGUGUCUUUAUAUAGACUCAAGGGUUUUAAUUUUAUUUAGGGUAUUUUAAUUUACUACCAUUUACACUUUUUCUUUGAUACUCAGAUUGUUAACAACUUUAGGCCCUGGGAUGUCCUUCAUUUUAGCUCCUGUAUCUGUCUGAUAAAGACCAUUAAUCUCUGAAUACCUUCCUUGUCUUCUGGCGCAAAAAGAUAUCCCAGACUCAUCUUGUACCUUCCUGCCCCAGACCUGGCACCAACUGUUGUUCUAAGGAGUUAAGUACCUUUUAAUGUAUUACAUAUUAGAGAUGAAAUCUGGGUCCAUCCCAGGAUUGUUUGCUGCUCAGAUUGAUAUGCUUUUAGGCCAUUUCAGUGAAAAGACCUAGAGAACAUAGAUUUUUGUAAACAUGAGUUCAUAUUAAUAUUUUUAAUUAAUGUUUUUAUUUGAUUUCUUGAUUUUAUACCUGUAAUCAUGAAUCUUAAAAUCAUUGGUAAAGUUUUAUUGUUUUUUUCUACAAUAUAAAGAAAAAAGCUUGAGGAUAUCAGUACUGAUAUUAGUAAAAAUGAACUCUCAGAAGAAGUUUAAAAUUUCUUUGUAGUACUUUUUUCUUUUUUUUAAAGAUUUUAUUUAUUUGAAAGAGUGAGUGAGCAUGAGAGAGAGCACAAGUGGGGGUGGGGGGGAAGAAGCAGACUUCCCUGCUGAGCAGCGGGGAGCCCAGUACAGGGCUAGAUCCCAGGUCCCCGAGAUCAUGACCUGAGCUGAAGGUAGAUGCGUAACCAACUGAGCCAUCCAGGCGCCCCUCUUUGUAGUUCUUUUUGUUCUUAGAGUGCUUCCUACCAAGAAGUACAGUAAACUGCAGUGUCCAAAUAACACCAGGGAAAUAAACCCUAUUUCCUGGUUAUCAAUUUGAUAAUUAAUUGGGUUUAUUUGUUGCUGUUUUUAGUGUAUGUUUCUUCCCUUCGCCACCCCUUCUCUAUUUAGCAAACAUUUUUAUUAGUUUCUCAGUUAUCAUUGUGUGUGCGACUGCACGUGUGUGUUGAGAAGUUCAAAUUCAAGCAAAUAUAUGGGUAAAUGUUAUUUUAUCCAAAAAAAAUAUCUUUUUAUACAAAAGGUAGCAGCAUACUGUAUAUGCUGUUGUGUGUGGUCUAUUUUUUUUAUUAGAUGUUUUUAUUUUUAUUUUUUAAAUUUUAUUUAUUUGAGAGAGAGAGAUUGAGACUGAGAGAGAGAAAGAGCAUGAGCAGGACAGAGGGAGAGGGAGAAGCAGACUCCCCACUGAGCAGGGAGCCUGACGCGGGGCUCAAUCUCAGAACCCUGGGAUCAUGACUUGAACCAAAGGCCGAGGCAAUUUGUUAAGACUGAGCCACCCAGGCACCCCUGUGGUUUUUUUUUUUUUCUUAAAAUAUGUUUAGGUCUGUCCAAUCAUUGUGUGGUAAAACUAUGGAUAAAACCAUUUAAAAAAAUAAUUCUGAAAUAAAAGCUUUUAGUAACUUGAUAAUUAUUUUUGGAUUGAAAAUAAUACUGAAAUCAACUCAAUAAUGUGAAAGCAGCAGAAAGUGAAGAAAAAAGAUCUAGAAAAAGGCACUGGAUUUGGUGAAUUUUGGAUUGUCCUUGAAGAACGAAUGGUGUCCAGGAGUAGGCAGGCAGAGAACUUCAGGGAUGGUGUUGAAGGGAGGCUUGAGGCAGAUUAGCUUGGCUGUUUUUGGAAGGUCCAUGUCAGAAAAAUCAUGAGAUUAGAGAAAGGAAUAAUGGCGCUCAAGAAGAAAUGAGCGCUGCCAUGGUCGACAAAUGCAUAGAAAUGUAGAUUGGUUGGUGGUUUUUUUGUGGUUUUCUUGUGGGUUUUUUUUGUUGUUGUUGUUGUUGUUGUUAGUUUGAUACAGAUUCUUCUGGAGCACAGAAGUUUGUUUUUAUGCCAACUAUAGUGUGUAACAUAAGUGAAUAGAAUGGCAUGCUAAAUGUUGACCACCUUGAUGGUAAAUGAGAAUAAGUUUCUAAGUUCAGUAUUACCAAGUCACAAAUACCAAGGACUUGGAAGCGAUCACUGUGGUUGUCUCAACCUGAUUGUGUGGAAUAGGAAAUUGAAGCCUGAAAAGGUUAAGUCACGUGUCCAAAUUAUACAACUGGAUGGAGGCAUAGCCAGGUCUUAAAUCUGGCUUCCUAAUUGUUGAUUGUAUCUACUUUUCUCUGUGCUGUGGUGCCUUUUGUAACCAUGAGAAAUGAGAAGUUGUGUAGCUGUUUUUGUUUUUAUUUUGAUACUUGGUUUUUGUCCCAAGGUAACUUCAGUUCU